GAUACGUGCCCUGGCCUAAGCUGAGCUCCAUCGGCAGGCAUGCUGCUCUUCCGCUGCGCUUGCGUUCUCGUGUGGUGCUCCCUGCCAGGUUCGGUGGCUGCCGUGACUUUGACCCAGCCGAGUUCUGCACUUGCGAAGCCAGGCAGUUCCGUCACUCUGGAGUGCGUCGCCUCUGGGUACAAUAUCAAUGACCACCACAUGCACUGGACGCGCCAGAGCCCGGGAAAAGGCCUGGUGUGGAUAGCUGCCUUCAAAACAGGGGCCACCACCUACAUUUCGAAUGACUUCAAAGGCCGCGUCACCCCCUCCACCAGCGGCUCCACUGGCAAGCUAAAGAUAGACGGGCUCACAGCUGCAGACACGGCCACUUACUACUGUUCCAGACACA